rnacentral:rRNA from 1 species
CGGGGGGGAUGCUUUUACCUGCAAGUCGAACGGCAGCGGGGGCUUCGGCCUGCCGGCGAGUGGCGAACGGGUGAGUAAUGCAUCGGAACGUGCCCAGUCAUGGGGGAUAACUACGCGAAAGCGUAGCUAAUACCGCAUACGCCCUGAGGGGGAAAGUGGGGGAUCUUCGGACCUCACGUGAUUGGAGCGGCCGAUGUCAGAUUAGCUAGUUGGUGAGGUAAAGGCUCACCAAGGCGACGAUCUGUAGCGGGUCUGAGAGGAUGAUCCGCCACACUGGGACUGAGACACGGCCCAGACUCCUACGGGAGGCAGCAGUGGGGAAUUUUGGACAAUGGGCGCAAGCCUGAUCCAGCCAUGCCGCGUGAGUGAAGAAGGCCUUCGGGUUGUAAAGCUCUUUCGCAAGGGAAGAAAACGUGUGGGCUAAUAUCCUGCGCGGAUGACGGUACCUUGACAAGAAGCACCGGCUAACUACGUGCCAGCAGCCGCGGUAAUACAUAGGGUGCGAGCGUUAAUCGGAAUUACUGGGCGUAAAGCGUGCGCAGGCGGUUGUGUAAGACAGGUGUGAAAUCCCCGGGCUUAACCUGGGAACUGCGCUUGUGACUGCACGGCUAGAGUACGGCAGAGGGGGGUGGAAUUCCUGGUGUAGCAGUGAAAUGCGUAGAUAUCAGGAGGAACACCGAUGGCGAAUGCAGCCCCCUGGGCCUGUACUGACGCUCAUGCACGAAAGCGUGGGGAGCAAACAGGAUUAGAUACCCUGGUAGUCCACGCCCUAAACGAUGUCAACUAGUUGUUCGUAGAGUAACUCUGUGAGUAACGCAGC